GGCCGCCGCCCCCUCCCUCUCUUCCUCUCUUUUCCAUCCUUGUAGCCGCCCUCUCCCUUUCUUCCUUCCUUUCUCCAUAGCAGCAGCCGCCCCCCAUCACACCCAACCCUAGCUGCCCCCCCAUCUCCUCCUCCCCAAGGUGCAGCCACCUCUCCUCCUCCCCCAAGGUGCAGCCACCUCUCCUCCUUUGGAUCUCCAUCGAGUUGGUGCAAGCCUCUAAUUGGAGAAUUGGUGGAGGAAAAAGAAAGGGGCGAAGGAAGAACUAAGGCACUUGAACCUUGCCUGGGGAAAGGAGGGAAGUAGUAGCACGAUCACUACACCACUAAACAACUUUACCACUGCUUAGUAAUGAUUUUUAAUCAGGGGCUUCGGGUCAAGGAUGUUGGUUAUUUUGAAAUAGUGUGUGCCAGUGGUCUAAUAUGUUCUAGUCUUUAUCGUGGUCGUAUUUUUGGUUAGCUGAAUUAAUUUUGUCCUGAAUGUUUAUUUUUCUCUUGCAUCAUGAUUAUACACUGUGGAUUACCUUUCUCUUGCAUAAUGUUUAAACACUGUGGAUUCCUCGUUA